UUCAACCAUAAUAACAGAGAAAAGAUUACUAAGAUAAGGUCUUACCUGAGAUAAAAUGUUACCCAAGCUAGGCAUGGUGAUGCAUGCCUAUAAUCCCAGCAACUAGGGUGCUGAGGCAAGAGGAUCACAUGUUUGAGGCCACUAGCAUUAUUUUAAAAUGUAUAGCUGAAAGAUUAUGGGGAAAGCUGAAUGUGUAUAGCAGCAGGCCAAAAAAUCAGGGAGUGUGGGAUCCUGUCCCCAGCGACAAGGCACUUGAUGCAGCUGCCUCCUAAGGAAGUAAAUAAUCUCCUUUAACUUUUGUGACCUGUGCCUGUUUUUCUUCUAGGUAUAGAAGUUUAGGAUUGUACAUUUGUACAGAGUGCAUGGAUCAUGGACUAUGUAAUGAGUUCAGGAAGAAAAGCCAGGUGAAGAUUUUGGCAUAGGGGUGAAGACUUCUUCAGCACACAAAGUCACAUCAUCUCCAUUGAUUCAAGAAGACCAAAUUGGCCUGUCAAAUGAGAAAACAGACACUAGCAUCAAGUCCUUCUUAAUUAGCUAGAUCUUAAGAAGAGAGGACAUGCCACCCAGUGAGGGAGCAGAUGGGCAAGCGCUAAGGUCAUCCACAACUUGAAUGGAGAGGCAAGAGCUUUUAUUGUCAUCUGGAAGGAAAGGAAUGGGCAAAGCCGAGUAAGAAGGAUUCAGAUUCCUUAGAUUUAGUAAUUUCAGCAGGCUCCAGGGCAUAAGGGCUAGGUUGGUGAUACCUGGACCUAGGGGCGUCAGGUAGGUGAA